ACCACUAUGGAUACCAUGCUCUUCUGGUGUGUGGCCAUUUGUCUCCUGGGGGUAGAUACUGGAGUCUUCCAGACCCCAAGAAGCCUGCUCACAGAGAGGAAAAAAAAUGUGGUGCUGAAAUGUCACCCAAUCCAAGGACAUAACUACGUUUACUGGUAUCAACAGCUCCCAGGACAAGAAUUGACAUUGCUGGAAUAUCGUGACAAAAACCAAGUCAUUCAUAGUUCAGGAAUGUCCAAACCCCUCUUCUCUGUUGAGUGGACCAGUGGCUCACCGUGCAGCCUGAAAAUCCAACCUGUGGAAUUAGAGGAUUCAGCCCUAUAUUUCUGUGCCAGCAGCUUAACCACAGUGCUGCAAACUAAUCCCUCUCUAUGCAUAAAUCUUCCCCAGCUCAGGAAACAGAAAACCAUGGACUGGAUGGUGGGUGUUGACAGAGAUAGUGACAUCAAAGAUAGGUCAUGCCUAUUGAGACCAGGUGAUCUCAGAUCGCUACCUCCAGAUACCACAGCCUUGAGCUGGUGA